CCCCGCGCCCGGCCCGCCGCCCCCGCCCCCCUACGGGAGGCAGCAGUAGGGAAUCUUCCACAAUGGACGAAAGUCUGAUGGAGCAACGCCGCGUGAGUGAAGAAGGUUCUCGGAUCGUAAAACUCUGUUGUGAGGGAAGAACAAGUACCGGAGUAACUGCCGGUACCUUGACGGUACCUCAUUAGAAAGCCACGGCUAAAUACGUGCCAGCAGCCGCGGUAAUACGUAGGUGGCWAGCGUUGUCCGGAAUCAUUGGGCGUAAAGCGCGCGCAGGCGGUCCCUUAAGUCUGAUGUGAAAGCCCACGGCUCAACCGUGGAGGGUCAUUGGAAACUGGGGGACUUGAGUGCAGAAGAGGAAAGCGGAAUUCCAAGUGUAGCGGUGAAAUGCGUAGAGAUUUGGAGGAACACCAGUGGCGAAGGCGGCUUUCUGGUCUGUAACUGACGCUGAGGCGCGAAAGCGUGGGGAGCAAACAGGAUAAGAUACCCCGGUAGUCCACGCUGUAAACGAU
rnacentral:rRNA from 1 species